rnacentral:tmRNA from 1 species
GGGGAUGAUCGGUUUCGACUCGGGACGAUAGUUCCAGGAGAAGCGGGCCGAGAAGCCGUAGUCAACUCGUUAAUGUCCUACGGAAACCAAUAAGUGCCAACAAUACGCGCACUGACUUCGCUCUCGCUGCCUAAGCAGCCAUCGAAGGGUUAGCCCGGGGUUAGCCUUUGCUCCGGAACCUAGCCUCAUUAAAAAGGCUUGCUUGUCGCGCUAUGUCUGAGGGCGCGACGGGGACUUUACUCAGGCUGGGCCUGGCCACGACGUGCUGACGCGAGUGUGGGGGCCAAGUAGACCGAUUAGUUAGCUGCGCCCGGAGAAUGUCUGGUUCAUCUUUUGAGGACGCGGGUUCAAUUCCCGCCAUCUCCACA